UAUCCAUUUUCUAAGGUUUCCAUCAUCAUUUCAAGCUCUCUUAGUUGCUGGAAAUUUUCUCUUUUUAUUCUUUACGGUAGAGAGGAAAACGCACUAACGGAAGCUUUAAGGAAUUUCUUUUAGUUUGCGAAGUUCAGGCAAGUGGAUUCUAUCAUAAGUUACCGCCUUAUAGUUAUAUAGUUGACGGGAAGAACGUCGAGGAUGACCUGGGCAUUGACGAGGAAGAGAUAUGAGACACAGUUGAAUUUUAUUUAUAAUUUAUACUUUUAAUUAUGACUAUACUACAUUUUUACUUGUUUUAUUUAAGGAUAAUAACUUUGUGAUUUCCGCUGCUAAAGAUUUAUAAGUUAAGUUUUA